UACGAACUGUGCAAACGUUAUUCGGAUUCACUGGGCUUAAAGGGUGCGUAGGCGGCCAUGUAAGUAGGGUGUGAAAUCCCCCGGCUUAACCGGGGAACUGCGCCCUAAACUGUAUGGCUGGAGUGAGAUAGGGGUGUGUGGAACUUCCGGUGGAGCGGUGAAAUGUGUUGAUAUCGGAAGGAACGCCGGUGGCGAAAGCGACACACUGGGUCUCAACUGACGCUGAGGCACGAAAGCCAGGGGAGCGAACGGGG
rnacentral:rRNA from 1 species